rnacentral:tRNA from 1 species
AUUUGUUCAUACGCAGGGCCCAAGCCGCUCGAGGCGGCUUGACACCCCCGGUUCGGAGGCCGGGGACCCAGUUC